GCCGAUGUAGCUCAGCUGGUAGAGCAGCUGCUUCGUAAGUAGCGGGUCGGAGGUUCAAAUCCUCUCAUCGGCU
rnacentral:tRNA from 1 species